rnacentral:rRNA from 1 species
AUUGAACGCUGGCGGCAGGCCUAACACAUGCAAGUCGGGCGAUCGUCGGACGGGUGAGUAAUGUAUUGGGAUCUGCCUGAUGGCGGGGGAUAACUACUGGAACCGGUAGCUACUACCUCCUACCCUCCGCUGAACCCCUAUGGGAUUAGCUGGUCGGUGAGGUAACGGCUUACCUAGGCGACGAUCCCUCGCUGGUCUGAGAGGAAGAUCAGCAACAAGGGGAAGGAGACACGGACAAGACUCCUACGGGAGGCAGCAGUGGGGAAUAUUGCACAAUGGGCGCAAGCCUGAUGCAGCCAUGCCGCGUGGAUGAAGAAGGCUGUCGGGUUGUAAAGUACUUUCAGUCGGGAGGCGUUACCGACAGAAGAAGCACCGGCUAACUCCGUGCCAGCAGCCGCGGUAAUAC